rnacentral:rRNA from 1 species
CUUCCGUAGGUGAACCUGCGGAAGGAUCAUUACCUAGAGUUGUAGGCUUUGCCUACCAUCUCUUACCCAUGUCUUUUGAGUACCUUCGUUUCCUCGGCGGGUCCGCCCGCCGAUUGGACAAACUUAAACCCUUUGUAAUUGAAAUCAGCGUCUGAAAAAACAUAAUAGUUACAACUUUCAACAACGGAUCUCUUGGUUCUGGCAUCGAUGAAGAACGCAGCGAAAUGCGAUAAGUAGUGUGAAUUGCAGAAUUCAGUGAAUCAUCGAAUCUUUGAACGCACAUUGCGCCCCUUGGUAUUCCAUGGGGCAUGCCUGUUCGAGCGUCAUUUGUACCUUCAAGCUCUGCUUGGUGUUGGGUGUUUGUCUCGCCUCUGCGUGUAGACUCGCCUUAAAACAAUUGGCAGCCGGCGUAUUGAUUUCGGAGCGCAGUACAUCUCGCGCUUUGCACUCAUAACGACGACGUCCAAAAAGUACUUUUUACACUCUUGACCUCGGAUCAGGUAGGGAUACCCGCUGAACUUAAGCAUAUCAAUAAGCGGAGGAA